UACAGAGGGGGCAAGCGUUGUUCGGAAUUACUGGGCGUAAAGGGCUCGUAGGUGGCCAACUAAGUCAGACGUGAAAUCCCUCAGCUUAACUGGGGAACUGCGUCUGAUACUGGAUGGCUUGAGUUUGGGAGAGGGAUGCGGAAUUCCGGGUGUAGCGGUGAAAUGCGUAGAUAUCUGGAGGAACACCGGUGGCGAAGGCGGCAUCCUGGACCAACACUGACACUGAUGAGCGAAAGCCAGGGGAGCAAACGGG
rnacentral:rRNA from 1 species